UGAGCCAAGUUUAGGGUUUCUUAAAAACCCAAGCAGUAUUGAACUGAAGAGUUUGAUCAUGGCUCAGAUUGAACGCUGGCGGCAGGCCUAACACAUGCAAGUCGAGCGGAUGAGAAGAGCUUGCUCUUCGAUUCAGCGGCGGACGGGUGAGUAA
rnacentral:rRNA from 1 species